GCGGGAGUGCCGGAGUGGUCAAACGGGCUCGGUUGAGGGCCGAGUGGCUUAAGCCUGCGCGUGUUCGAACCACGUCUCCCGCA
rnacentral:tRNA from 1 species